AAACAUAACAUAGAGGGUCCUGCCUGCCCAGUGACAGAAAGUUAAACGGCCGCGGUAUCUUGACCGUGCGAAGGUAGCAUAAUCACUUGUCUCCUAAAUAGAGACUGGUAUGAAUGGCAAGACGGAACUUAACUGUCUCCUUUUCUCCUAUCCUAAUUUCACUUUCCCGUGAAGAGGCGGGAAAAUAUUCGCUAGACGAGAAGACCCUGUCGAGCUUAAGCAAAAUGCUAAUUUCUAACUCCUCUUAAUUAUAUUCUAAUUUUUUCUGCUAAACGUAACUAAGAGAAAAUUAUUAGUACAAGCUUUGGUUGGGGCAACCACGGAGAAGAAAAAUCCUCCGCUUACAAUAGAUAAAAAUAAGACCCUACAAGUCUAAUAUUGUAUAAACAAGUCAAAUGAUCCACCACGGUGAUCAAAGGAAAAAGUUACCGCAGGGAUAACAGCGUUAUCUUUUCUGAGAGUUCACAUUGACGAAAAGGUUUGCGACCUCGAUGUUGGAUCGGGACAUCCUAAGGGUGCAGAAGCUUUUAAGGGUUGGUCUGUUCGACCAUUAAAGUCCU
rnacentral:rRNA from 1 species